rnacentral:sRNA from 1 species
AAUCGCAGCCCGCCACCUGACGCCCGCGCUCCAGACCCGCGGGGUUCGGGCUGCGGGGGAGAGGCCGCCGCUCCCGGCCCGGCGUUCAGGGCUUCCGGGGCAGCGUCGAGGGCGAGGCCCCCAGCAGUGAGACUGGCACGUCCCUGGACAGCCCCUCGGCCUACCCCCAGGGCCCCUUGGUGCCCGGUUCCAGCCUGAGCCCGGAUCACUACGAGCACACAUCAGUGGGAGCCUAUGGGCUGUACUCGGGGCCGCCGGGGCAACAGCAGCGCACGCGGAGGCCCAAGCUGCAGCACUCGACCUCCAUCCUGCGCAAGCAGGCCGAGGAGGAGGCCAUCAAGCGCUCACGCUCACUCUCUGAGAGCUAUGAGCUCUCCUCAGACCUGCAGGACAAGCAGGUGGAGAUGCUAGAACGAAAGUAUGGGGGGCGCCUGGUAACCCGCCAUGCAGCCCGCACCAUCCAGACGGCGUUUCGCCAGUACCAGAUGAACAAGAACUUCGAGCGCUUGCGCAGCUCCAUGUCAGAGAACCGCAUGUCACGCCGG